CUUCUAGACACGGAGUGGGAGAGGCCGC
rnacentral:piRNA from 1 species